GGGCGGGGGGUGCUAUACAUGCAAGUCGAGCGAACAGAGAAGGAGCUUGCUCCUUCGACGUUAGCGGCGGACGGGUGAGUAACACGUGGGCAACCUACCUUAUAGUUUGGGAUAACUCCGGGAAACCGGGGCUAAUACCGAAUAAUCUGUUUCACCUCAUGGUGAAACACUGAAAGACGGUUUCGGCUGUCGCUAUAGGAUGGGCCCGCGGCGCAUUAGCUAGUUGGUGAGGUAACGGCUCACCAAGGCGACGAUGCGUAGCCGACCUGAGAGGGUGAUCGGCCACACUGGGACUGAGACACGGCCCAGACUCCUACGGGAGGCAGCAGUAGGGAAUCUUCCACAAUGGGCGAAAGCCUGAUGGAGCAACGCCGCGUGAGUGAAGAAGGAUUUCGGUUCGUAAAACUCUGUUGUAAGGGAAGAACAAGUACAGUAGUAACUGGCUGUACCUUGACGGUACCUUAUUAGAAAGCCACGGCUAACUACGUGCCAGCAGCCGCGGUAAUACGUAGGUGGCAAGCGUUGUCCGGAAUUAUUGGGCGUAAAGCGCGCGCAGGUGGUUUCUUAAGUCUGAUGUGAAAGCCCACGGCUCAACCGUGGAGGGUCAUUGGAAACUGGGAGACUUGAGUGCAGAAGAGGAUAGUGGAAUUCCAAGUGUAGCGGUGAAAUGCGUAGAGAUUUGGAGGAACACCAGUGGCGAAGGCGACUAUCUGGUCUGUAACUGACACUGAGGCGCGAAAGCGUGGGGAGCAAACAGGAUUAGAUACCCUGGUAGUCCACGCCGUAAACGAUGAGUGCUAAGUGUUAGGGGGUUUCCGCCCCUUAGUGCUGCAGCUAACGCAUUAAGCACUCCGCCUGGGGAGUACGGUCGCAAGACUGAAACUCAAAGGAAUUGACGGGGGCCCGCACAAGCGGUGGAGCAUGUGGUUUAAUUCCAAGCCACGCGAAGAACCUUACCAGGUCUUGACAUCCCGUUGACCACUGUAGAAGAUAUGGUUUCCCCUUCGGGGGCAACGGUGACAGGUGGGGCAGGGUUGCCCCCCCUCCGGGCCGGGAAAGUUG
rnacentral:rRNA from 1 species